rnacentral:rRNA from 2 species
AAUCCCUGCGGGGGAAAGAUUUAUCGCUAUUAGAUGAGCCUACGUUAGAUUAGCUAGUUGGUAAGGUAAUGGCUUACCAAGGCUAUGAUCUAUAGCUGGUCUGAGAGGACGAUCAGCCACACUGGAACUGAGAUACGGUCCAGACUCCUACGGGAGGCAGCAGUGGGGAAUAUUGGACAAUGGGCGAAAGCCUGAUCCAGCUAUGCCGCGUGAGUGAAGAAGGCCUUCGGGUUGUAAAACUCUUUCAAUAGGGAAGA